UACGGAGGGGGGCUAGCGUUGUUCGGAAUUACUGGGCGUAAAGCGCGCGUAGGCGGAUCUGCAAGUCGGGGGUGAAAUCCCGAGGCUCAACCUCGGAACUGCCUUCGAUACUGCGGGUCUCGAGUCCGGGAGAGGUGAGUGGAAUUCCUAGUGUAGAGGUGAAAUUCGAUAGAUAUUAGGAAGAAACACCAGUGGCGAAGGCGGGCUCACUGGCCCGGUACUGACGCUGAGGCGGCGAAAAGCGUGGGGAGCAAACAGGAUUAGAAACCCCUGG
rnacentral:rRNA from 1 species